GAGAUGUGUUGGAAGAGACCAAAAUGGGGUAGAAGAGACAAAAAUGGGGUAGAAGAGACAAAAAAUGGGUUGGAAGAGACAAAGGUUGGUGGGAAAGUGACAAAAGUUGGUGGUGAGGAAAUGGAAUUGGCUUGGAACUGUCAAAAAUGGGUUGAGAGUGAACAAAAUGGGUUGGGAGAGAGAAAAAAUGGGUUGGAAUUGUUAAAAAUGGGUUGGAAGAGACAAAAAUGAGGUGGAAGAGAGAAAAAUUGGAAGUGACCAGAUGGACUUGGCUUGGAACCAUCAAAAAAGGGUUGGAAGAGACAAAAAUGGGUUGGAAUUGGCAAAAAUGGGUUGGAAGGGACAAAAAUGGGUUGGAAGAGACCAAAGUCGGUGGCGAGGAAAUGGGAUUGGCUUGGAACCAUCAAAAAUGGGUGAGAAGAGCCAAAAAGUUGCUGGAAACGCCCAGAAAUUGAUGUAAACCCGAAAGAAAGUUCUGGAAACCACCAAAA